GAUGAAGAACGUAGCGAAAUGCGAUAAGUAAUGUGAAUUGCAGAAUUCAGUGAAUCAUCGAAUCUUUGAACGCAUCUUGCGCUCCUUGGUAUUCUGAGGAGCAUGCCUGUUUGAGUGUCAUUAAAUUCUCAACUACACUGACUUUGAAUUGGUGUGGCUUGGAUUUGGGGGGAAAAUUGUUGUGGGCUUUUUGUAUAGUCUGCUCCCCUGAAAUUGAUUAGCGGUACCUUUGUGGAACUGUCUACAGGUGUGAUAAUUAUCUACAUCUUAGACAUCUGCUGGAAUGCUGCUUUCUAAACCUUGCUUGUAUUGACAAUCUUGACCUCAAAUCAGGUAGGACUACCCGCUGAACUUAAGCAUAUCAAUAAGCGGAGGA
rnacentral:misc_RNA from 1 species